AAACCCCAAAUAGUGAAAACCCUUCCAUCCACUUCACGACGAGCUUCCUUCUUUACAAUUUCGAGCCACUGUCCAAGUUUGUAAUUACAUAUUAGUCUUAUUGCUCCAACACAAUUUGGUUCUCUAAGAAGGAAUGCAAGCUUCAAGACUAUCUAGAAGAAAUUAAGAAAUUUGAGCAAGUUGAAGAAGAAUGUCCAGGUGACCCUUUGAGUAUUGAUUAGUUUAGAACUUCAGUUAAACAAAAUAGUGUCAACCUAUUCAUGGUGCUUGGCUGCUUGCUGCUUAUUUCUAACUUUUGUCUUGGCCAACUUUAAUUAACUUAAUAUUUUUUGUGGAACUACAAAUUGGGUUGGAGCUUUUGGUUU